UGUUCCGGGAUAUCCCCGGAGCGGCCGUGGUGGCCACAAUUGGAAUUUGAGCCGCCAUUCCUAUCCUGAGUCUUCUCCCCCCCCCCAACCCCCCUUGCUUUCUCUGCAAAGGUCCUGGGACUUCCGGCUCGAGGCAGCCCAGUGAAAUGUCCCUAGAAGGAGGUGCUCACAGCAGCCUAUUUCUUCCAUCCCAGACCUUUCUAUGCCAUGUGAGUUAAAGUUCUCAAGAUUCACAUCUUAGAUCCACCUCACCCUAAAGGGCACAACUGUCACAAGUUCGGAAGUGACACACCUUCUUAAAACCAUGCCAGGUAUGCAGGAGGACUGGUCAAACGGAGGGGUGGACUCAACCAGCCACCGCAGCUCCCCAUUAUCUGAAGCAGCUAACAGGACCAGUGUUUGUUCCCAGACCUGGAAUAUAAUGGCUCGUGAUUCCUCAAUUAAAGGUUUGUCUCCUUCAAAGACCUGACCGGGUACUUUUUCUCAGAACAAUGGAAAUCUCACUCCCACCUGCCCUGGUUUACAGCUGUGCACGAACCAAUGAACACAUGCCUUAAUGAUGACCCAGUGCCAUCAUCCUUAGCCCUCAGCCCUCCUGGCCACUCCCCUGUGGCUGGCCAGAGGAGCUGGCUUUUUUACUGCUGAGUCCUCACCUGGAAGACUGUGAAAUAGCAACUCUGGCCUUCUUCUUCCCAUUCUCACCUUUCCCCCUGGUGUGCUUCCUCUGGCAAAGUUGCCUCAUUCUUUCAUGAAAGUUCUUCCCCCAACCUCUGCUACAGGACACGUACACAAUCAACUCGGUCUGAGAGGAGCCUUCAGCUUCAUGUCCAGAUGGAAGAGGAGGACAGACUUAAACGGGAGAGUUCAUUGGAAGAGAAGAGUUUUCAGUGACCAGAGAGAGAGGUAACCUUUCCUUGUUGCUGGAGCAGACUGAGAGAUGGAGGAGGAGGGAGAGCAAGGGGACCACCACACCCUCUCCUCCUGAGAUGCUGCAAAGCUGCCCUGAGCAGAGAGAAGGGGAGAGCUUGAGGAUUAGAAUGGGAGGAGGGUGAUAUUUUAAAUUACAUGGCACUGGGUGUUUUAAAGCUCUCAAAGUAAAAGUGAGGCUGAGAUGUUGAUGAGUCAGAAAUGGCAAUGCAACUUCAGUAAAAUAAAGCCAUUCCCUGUUUGAACCCCAGCAGGCCAGCCUGCUCAAUAGACCUACUCAAUUUUCUUCAGCCCCAGGAGACUGCCUAUCCUGAGGGAUGCUUCUUACUCCGUGUUUAUUCCAGACUAUCUAUCUGACCUAAGAACACAGACUUUGGGAGGAUAGAGUCAGUCUGACUUAGAGGUUACGCUACUCAACCGCCCGCUCAUCCUUCCCAAGGGGAAAUGAACCAGGGCCAACCCCAGCCCAGACAGGAGACUGAAAAAAUGGAAAACGCAGGAAGGAAAAAAUGUGUAGAGACUAUUCUUGCAAAACCUUAGCCCAGAUAAAGAGGUCAAAACCAAAAAUAAUCAGAGAUCAGAAUGGUAAAGAGGAGGGCUACUUGAGCCAGAAGGCAACAUUAGCUUCCUCACAUCCUCAGGCGAACAGGGGUCAGACAAUCCCUUCAGCUCAUAUAUGGCCUUAGACUAGUCAGGGCACAUCUAUCCAAGGCUUUGGUUUUCCUGACUGUCAAAAUAGACACCAGUAGCUUGUUCCAGCAACCUCACACAAGUGGCAUGGAGUCAAAUGUGAUUGCAUGGCCUGAAAUGAAACAGAAACUCUGAAAACUGCAUAAAGCCACUCUACCCAGAAUAUUCCCAGUCGUCAUCUGCUAAUUACUGAGGCCCCUCUGGAGACUGGUUACCUCUGUAAUUCUCCUAAGGAUAUAUUUAGGCUAUUCUUGUUUUGUGACUAUUUUGGGGACUGCAAAAAACCCAGUAUUCUACUAAAUUUAAGCAUGCACAGCUUACCAACAAGUUGUGUUUCAAAAGCAGAUUUGCAGGUAGGCUAGAGAUUCGUUUUACAUAAAAACCAUGUUAAAAGGAAUCUGUUAUACAUAUGCAAACCAGUAGAAAACAAUAAUGUUACAAAGCACGAAGCCAAACAGGAAAAAUAUAUCUUAAGAGUGGCCAAGUAAUAGUACAUUCACUAUUUAAUACAGGUACUUUAAACUUCUCCAUUAAUGCUUGAAUGCUGCUAUUUCUUGCAGCUUGAAGACUUACGCUGGGCAUAAAGCAAGUAGAACACGGGGGAGCGAGGAUAUGGAAAAUUAUAAUGGAAUUCCUGGCAAGUCAGAGCAACCCACACGUUUCUCCUCUAGGACUUCCUGGAGCCAGUUUCCUCCCUGCCUCUGUCCAGGGACCACCUUCUGGCUCCACGCCACCCACAACACAUCCCCCCAUGUGUCUCCCCCAACUCUAGCAUGGAGGAGAGCCACACACAAGGUUCAUGUUUAGGGGAAGGAGAGGCUGAUCUUUCUAUUUUAAAAUUUACUAGCAUAAUCUAAUUGCAGAAGAAGUCCUUAAUUGCCCAGUUCUAAGCCAGCCUGAUCAGGUGUGCUGUGCCGGCAAUGGGUCCGGACCAAGG